GACAGAGGGGGCAAGCGUUGCUCGGAAUUAUUGGGCGUAAAGAGCUCGUAGGCGGUUUGUCGCGUCUGCCGUGAAAGUCCGGGGCUCAACUCCGGAUCUGCGGUGGGUACGGGCAGACUAGAGUGAUGUAGGGGAGACUGGAAUUCCUGGUGUAGCGGUGAAAUGCGCAGAUAUCAGGAGGAACACCGAUGGCGAAGGCAGGUCUCUGGGCAUUAACUGACGCUGAGGAGCGAAAGCAUGGGGAGCGAACAGG
rnacentral:rRNA from 1 species